AUUGAACGCUGGCGGCAGGCUUAACACAUGCAAGUCGAGCGAGCGGCGGACGGGUGAGUAAUGUCCGGGAAACUGCCUGAUGGAGGGGGAUAACUACUGGAAACGGUAGCUAAUACCGCAUACCAUCAGAUGUGCCCAGAUGGGAUUAGCUAGUAGGUGGGGUAAUGGCUCACCUAGGCGACGAUCCCUAGCUGGUCUGAGAGGAUGACCAGCGACACUGGAAGUGAGACACGGUCCGGACUCCUACGAGAAGCGACAGAGGGGAAUAUUGCACAAUGGGCGCAAACCUGAUGCGACCAUGCCGAGUGUGUGAAGAAGGCCUUCGGGUUGUAGAGCACUUUCAGGGAGGAGGCGUUACUCGCAGAAGAAGCACCGGCUAACUCCGUGCCAGCAGCCGCGGUAAUUC
rnacentral:rRNA from 1 species